UACAGAGGGUGCAAGCGUUAAUCGGAAUUACUGGGCGUAAAGCGUGCGUAGACGGUUAUUUAAGUCAGGUGUGAAAGCCCCGGGCUCAACCUGGGAAUUGCAUUUGAGACUGAAUAGCUAGGGUGCGGAAGAGGGAAGCGGAAUUUCCGGUGUAGCGGUGAAAUGCGCAGAUAUCAGGAGGAACACCAAUGGCGAAGGCAGCACUCUGGGACGGUACUGACGCUGAGACGCGAAAGCGUGGGGAGCGAACAGG
rnacentral:rRNA from 1 species